CGGGGGGCGGGCGUCCCGAGGCAAGAGAUGUCCCCAGCGGGGCUUCCCGCGGGCCAGGAUGGAUGAACAGAGCGUGGGACCCGUCCCCGCCCCAGCAAAGGCCAUGGCCGGCAAAGGGCACGCAGAGCUCAGCUACCUGAAUCAAGACCUUUGCGUGCGGAGCUGUGUUUGGAAGAGAGAAGAGGAAGGUAAAGGUGAAUGGCCGGAAAAGAUGAAGAUGGGUUAUCUUAGAAGACGCUUUUCUGUGUUUCCCUUUGGACCUUCACGCAGAGAUUGAUUCCAGAUCUAAAGAGGGACAGACACUCCUUCGGGCCCUCCACUCCAGCAGUCUCUCCCCAGCCAGAGACUUCAGGGCUGCAGAUGAAGUUCGGCUACAGUAAUGAAAACCUUUGCUGUUCAACUCAGUACCUGCUCGCUGCAAGGAC